UACGGGGGGGGCAAGCGUUGUUCGGAAUUACUGGGCGUAAAGGGCUCGUAGGUGGCCAACUAAGUCGGAUAUGAAAUCCCCAGGCUUAACCUGGGAACUGCAUCCGAUACUGGUCGGCUUGAAUCCGGGAGAGGGAUGCAGAAUUCCAGGUGUAGCGGUGAAAUGCGUAGAUAUCUGGAGGAAUACCGGUGGCGAAGGCGGCAUCCUGGACCGGCAUUGACGCUGAACAGCGAAAGCUAGGGGAGCAAACGGG
rnacentral:rRNA from 1 species